ensembl:piRNA 21ur-12332 ncRNA
UCCUUUUCAGUGAGAACUAAC